GGGGGUAUGGUCUAGUGGUAUGAUUUCUGUUUUGCAUACUCCUUGUGCAAUCUUACAGACGGUCCCGCGUUCGAUCCGCGGUGCCUCCA